UACGUAGGGUGCGAGCGUUGUCCGGAAUUAUUGGGCGUAAAGGGCUCGUAGGCGGUUUGUCGCGUCGGGAGUGAAAUCCACUGGCUUAACUGGUGGCUUGCUUUCGAUACGGGCAGACUGGAGGUAUGCAGGGGAGAACGGAAUUCCAGGUGUAGCGGUGAAAUGCGUAGAUAUCUGGAGGAACACCGGUGGCGAAGGCGGCAUCCUGGACCGGCAUUGACGCUGAGGCGCGAAAGCCAGGGGAGCAAAGCGGGG
rnacentral:rRNA from 1 species